rnacentral:rRNA from 1 species
CCCUUAGAUGUUCUGGGCUGCACGCGCGCUACACUGAUACCUUCAGCGAGUCCACCACCUUGCCUGGGAGGGUGGGGUAACCUCUGGAAAGUGCAUCGUGAUGGGGAUCGAUUAUUGUAAUUAUUAAUCUUCAACGAGGAAUUCCUAGUAAGCAUGUGUCAUCAGCCCGUGCUGAUUACGUCCCUGCCCUUUGUACACACCGCCCGUCGCUCCUACCGAUUGAAUGUUCCGGUGAGCUCUUCGGACUGCGCGGUCUGCAGUUUCUGCGUUCCGUGCGGAAAGUUGCGCAAACCUUAACAUUUAGAGGAAGGAGAAGUCGUAACA